GGUCCGGUAGCUCAGCUGGAUAGAGCAACAGCCUUCUAAGCUGUGGGUCCUGCGUUCGAAUCGCAGCCGGAUCACAA
rnacentral:tRNA from 1 species